AGUCGAGCGGACAGAAGGGAGCUUGCUCCCGGAUGUUAGCGGCGGACGGGUGAGUAACACGUGGGUAACCUGCCUGUAAGACUGGGAUAACUCCGGGAAACCGGAGCUAAUACCGGAUAGUUCCUUGAACCGCAUGGUUCAAGGAUGAAAGACGGUUUCGGCUGUCACUUACAGAUGGACCCGCGGCGCAUUAGCUAGUUGGUGAGGUAACGGCUCACCAAGGCGACGAUGCGUAGCCGACCUGAGAGGGUGAUCGGCCACACUGGGACUGAGACACGGCCCAGACUCCUACGGGAGGCAGCAGUAGGGAAUCUUCCGCAAUGGACGAAAGUCUGACGGAGCAACGCCGCGUGAGUGAUGAAGGUUUUCGGAUCGUAAAGCUCUGUUGUUAGGGAAGAACAAGUGCAAGAGUAACUGCUUGCACCUUGACGGUACCUAACCAGAAAGCCACGGCUAACUACGUGCCAGCAGCCGCGGUAAUACGUAGGUGGCAAGCGUUGUCCGGAAUUAUUGGGCGUAAAGGGCUCGCAGGCGGUUUCUUAAGUCUGAUGUGAAAGCCCCCGGCUCAACCGGGGAGGGUCAUUGGAAACUGGGAAACUUGAGUGCAGAAGAGGAGAGUGGAAUUCCACGUGUAGCGGUGAAAUGCGUAGAGAUGUGGAGGAACACCAGUGGCGAAGGCGACUCUCUGGUCUGUAACUGACGCUGAGGAG
rnacentral:rRNA from 1 species